rnacentral:rRNA from 1 species
AAGACUCUCGGCAACGAAUAUCUCGGCUCUUGCAUCGAUGAAGAACGUAGCGAAAUGCGAUACUUGGUGUGAAUUGCAGAAUCCCGUGAACCAUCGAGUCUUUGAACGCAAGUUGCGCCCGAAGCCAUUAGGCUGAGGGCACGCCUGCCUGGGUGUUGCACAU